UUUGCUGGAGAUGUGAAAGAAUGUUCUGGAAAGCAUCUCUUGCCAGAGUUCUGUCGGUAUGUUGUUUACAGAUUUCUCCAGUCACAGAGUGGGGUCUGACAAAUGCUUUUUUUAAAACAAAUCAGCCGACCCAUCAAGCAUCCCCCUGGAAUCCUGCUGUGCAACAGCCUGUGGAGACUAUGAGUCCUUUUGUUCCAUUUUCAAAUCCAAGAAGCGUGUUCGAACCUCCAGUGUCCAAGGUCGGUGUCCCACAAGAUGCUAAUUUUACCGAUGCUGAGCAGCAACAUUUUCCCUUUUCAUCCAAACAACCAUGGCUUUGGGAGUCUCCUGUAACCAUAUUACCUUCAUCGACUGGUGGCGCGUUCAUGACGAGCUCAGAUUUUCUGCGCACAUCAAAGCAGAACUACUUGCUGCCUGAAAAAAAACAACUCAGCCUACUCAAGAUGGAAGCGACUAUUCUACACUGCACCACUGAACGACCACAGGAACUGCACAAUUUUUUCAACCCAAAUGCUGAUGAAAUUUCUGAAGACAGUCUCUCCCAAAGCUACUCUCUGGAAGAGCCUCAGGAUUACAGAUGCGAGGCAUCGAAGCCGCCUGAAGACUGUGAUUGCAGUGGAUUUGUCACCAAAAUCUCCAAGCGACCCCCAGCCACCACAUUGUGGAAAGGCUGUGGCUUGGGUCAGAAAUACCAGAGCAGAGUCUCUUCCAUCUCUAGCAACACAACCACAGCUGCCUUGUCUCCCUUUGAUAAUCAUUAUGAGAUAGAAACAGAGUGGAGAACAUAUUCUCCCUUGCGGCAUUUUUACGGUGAAAACGUGCCAGCAUCCAAUGGGCUUCCUUUACCGUUAAACCACACAGUCAAUGUGGAUACCCUAGAAGGCUUUUGUGCUGCAGAAAUGGGGGGUGAGGCUGCUGUCCACAAGCCUAGUAAUGCUAGCGUGGCCGUGCAAACAGUUGUUGAGUUAUGUGACAUCGCUGUGCAGUGUGAUGUUCCUGUUCUCAGGGAGAAGUGUGCCAAGUGCAAUCUGGUGCAGGUCUACAAGCCUAGUAAUGCUAGCGUGGCUGUGCAAACAGCUGUUGAGUCAUGUGACAUAGCAGUGCAUGGUGAUGUUCCUGUUCAUGGGGAAAAGUGUGCCAAGUGCAAUCUGGUGCUUGAACAGAUGCACAUUCAGAGGGAAGAGUGACAUAAUGAUCGUUUUGCAAAGCUAGUUACUUGUUGUGUUAACACCUUUUGGCAUUAUACAUUUGGCUAGAAACUGAGCCGCUGUUCUGAUUAUCUUAUGUGUGGGGCAUGCAUGCCUUGAAUCUUGCAAGUAAAUGCAGGGAGGAAAAACAACAACAAAUCUUUAAUAUCCCAAUUACCAAGAGGGACUAUUCAUGUCCACAGGAUUUUCUGAUUCCAUGUCCUUUACAUGAAUGUAAUAAAAGGCAAUGCAAUAACAUGCCAUCAAAGUUUAUC
rnacentral:lncRNA from 1 species